AUCGCAGGUCCUGCAGCCCCAGGAGGUUCCUUACGUACAGGAUUCCUUUUUAGAGCCAAUGGUCAUUUCCAUCAAGGACCCACCAAGGAUGGAGAAGGACAGAGACCUCAUGGUUGCGAGGAUAUUAGACCUCACCCUGGAAAUCAUCUCCUUGAUAACUGGAGAGGAUUACACAGUAGUGAAGAAGUCGUCUGGUGAGUGUGUGACACCCCGUGUGUCAGG